CUCUCUUUUUGCCACUGCCUCGGUCAGUCAUGAUUUCAAUCACUUCAAUUUUCCCAUACUGUUCAAAAUAAUCUCUUACAUGAUAGAUCUGAAGAGCAAAC